UACAGAGGUGGCAAGCGUUGUUCGGAAUUACUGGGCGUAAAGGGCGCGUAGGCGGCCUUCUAAGUCGGACGUGAAAGCCCCAGGCUUAACCUGGGAACUGCGUCCGAUACUGGGAGGCUUGGAUUCGGGAGAGGGAUGUGGAAUUCCAGGUGUAGCGGUGAAAUGCGUAGAUAUCUGGAGGAACACCGGUGGCGAAGGCGGCAUCCUGGACCGACAUCGACGCUGAGGCGCGAAAGCUAGGGGAGCAAACGGG
rnacentral:rRNA from 1 species